UGCUUAACCGUGCAAGUCGAACGGUAACAGGGAGCUUGCUCCGCUGACGAGUGGCGAACGGGUGAGUAAUGCAUCGGAACGUACCCAGUCGUGGGGGAUAACGUAGCGAAAGUUACGCUAAUACCGCAUACGUCCUGAGGGAGAAAGCGGGGGACCGUAAGGCCUCGCGCGAUUGGAGCGGCCGAUGUCAGAUUAGCUAGUUGGUAGGGUAAAGGCCUACCAAGGCGACGAUCCGUAGCGGGUCUGAGAGGAUGAUCCGCCACACUGGGACUGACACAC
rnacentral:rRNA from 1 species